rnacentral:rRNA from 1 species
CCUACGGGAGGCAGCAGUAAGGAAUAUUGGUCAAUGGACGCAAGUCUGAACCAGCCAUGCCGCGUGAAGGAUUAAGGUCCUCUGGAUUGUAAACUUCUUUUAUCUGGGACGAAAAAGGCGAUUCUUCGUCACUUGACGGUACCAGAUGAAUAAGCACCGGCUAACUCCGUGCCAGCAGCCGCGGUAAUACGGAGGGUGCAAGCGUUAUCCGGAUUCACUGGGUUUAAAGGGUGCGUAGGCGGGCAGGUAAGUCAGUGGUGAAAUCCUAGAGCUUAACUCUAGAACUGCCAUUGAUACUAUCUGUCUUGAAUAUUGUGGAGGUAAGCGGAAUAUGUCAUGUAGCGGUGAAAUGCUUAGAUAUGACAUAGAACACCUAUUGCGAAGGCAGCUUACUACGCAUAUAUUGACGCUGAGGCACGAAAGCGUGGGGAUCAAACAGGAUUAGAUACCCUGGUAGUCCACGCCCUAAACGAUGAUUACUCGACAUUUGUGAUACACUAUAAGUGUUNUGAGACGAAGACAUUAAGUUAAGUACCACCGUACGGAAGGUAACGACCCGACGAAGGUUAGUAACGUACGAAAGGAAGUUAGUACGGACGUUAGAGACGUUAGCCGACGGACGACCGACGAGGGGAGGGUAGGG